rnacentral:rRNA from 1 species
CGAACGCUGGCGGCAUGCUUAAUACAUGCAAGUCGAACGAGAAAGCCCUUUCGGGGGUGAGUAGAGUGGCGCACGGGUGAGUAACGCGUAGGUGACCUGCCUAUUUGUGGGGGAUAACCAGAAGAAAUUCUGGCUAAUACCGCAUAAGCUGAAUAAAUUUGAAAGUAAUUCAGGAAAGAUUGCCUCUACUUGUAAGCAAUCACAGAUAGAGGGGCCUGCGUGCCAUUAGCUUGUUGGUAGGGUAACGGCUUACCAAGGCUACGAUGGCUAGCUGGUUUGAGAGAAUGAUCAGCCACACUGGAACUGAGACACGGUCCAGACUCCUACGGGAGGCAGCAGUAGGGAAUAUUGCGCAAUGGGCGAAAGCCUGACGCAGCAAUGCCGCAUGAGUGAGGAAGGUUUUCGGAUUGUAAAGCUCUGUCAGGGUGGAAAAACGGCUUUGUGUCCAAUAGGCGCAAGGUUUGAUGGUACACCCAAAGGAAGCACCGGCUAACUUC